UCAAUGCAAAAUAAAAGCAAGUAAAUGUUCAGCUUUCAUAAUAUCUAUCUGUCAGUGGUGUUAGAUUAGUAAUUAGAAGAUUCGGUAUUUAUUCGACUGGGUCACUGAUGCGUUAGAGACUUGUUCGAGAAAUUAAAAUAUGUAGGAUGUUUCAUCUAUUACAGUAACUGUGUUGUUUUAUAUUUAUAAAAAACUUUCUUCUAUAGUUAGUAAGUAGGCUUAGAAAUAGUUGAAGGCUUAAAAAGACUAACCGCUGAAGAUAACUGAAAGAAGCUGGUCAAAUUCCCGAUAAAUUUAAGACCGCCGGCCCGGCCCCGGGGAACCCAUGCAGCCAGAGACAUUCGGACGAAGAACACCACGGCAAAUGGCCCCGCCCACCCCUGGGGUACCUUCUGCCCGAUGGUAGUCGGAAGAGAGGGGGGAGUGCUGUGGUAAAACCUCAUCGAAAAGCAAAAAUAAAAGAAAAAGAAGAAAGAAGGUAAACCGGAGGAACAGACCCAGACCGCGUUUUUCUGUGUGGAGUGCGGCGGUGUGUUCUGCGUGUCUGUUGGAACUAUGGCUGCUGCCGCAUCUGGCCGGCACCCGGCCCCACUGCGGGCCUCGGUGAUGGCGAUCGUGUGUCUACUGCUUCCAGCCUGUUUUGGUGGUGCUGCGUAUUUCGUAUCUCAUCCCGACCACCGAGUUGCGCCAGGUAAGU